AUUGAACGCUGGCGGCAUGCCUUACACAUGCAAGUCGAACGGCAGCACGGGAGCAAUCCUGGUGGCGAGUGGCGAACGGGUGAGUAAUAUAUCGGAACGUGCCCAGUCGUGGGGGAUAACGUAGCGAAAGCUACGCUAAUACCGCAUACGAUCUAUGGAUGAAAGCGGGGGAUCGCAAGACCUCGCGCGAUUGGAGCGGCCGAUAUCAGAUUAGGUAGUUGGUGAGGUAAAGGCUCACCAAGCCGACGAUCUGUAGCUGGUCUGAGAGGACGACCAGCCACACUGGGACUGAGACACGGCCCAGACUCCUACGGGAGGCAGCAGUGGGGAAUUUUUGGACAAUGGGCGCAAGCCUGAUCCAGCAAUGCCGCGUGCAGGAUGAAGGCCUUCGGGUU
rnacentral:rRNA from 1 species